GCCUGGGUGGCUCAGUUGGUAGAGCGCCUGACUUCAGCUCAGGUCAUGAUCUUGCAGUCUGUGAGUUCGAGCCCCACGUUGGGCU
rnacentral:tRNA from 1 species